rnacentral:lncRNA from 1 species
GGGAGUGAUGAAGAGGAUACAAACCGGUACUAGUGUAUAUGAUAUUGCAUAUUGCAUAAGUGGUUGAUAUGUAUAUGAUACUGCCAAUGCACGAGGUGCACGACCUACAGAUGAAUUAUUAUUUAAUACUAUAAAUCGAUAUCAAUAUUGAAGUCCGCGGCUUUUGUCUGACACUGAAACAAAACAUGACAAAAUGCAAGCCAGAUACAACUUAAUUAUAUGCAGCAUCAACAAGUGGGCACAUGACAUGCACUGAAGGAGUAAUAAUUUUUCCAUUCUUCUGAUUAGGCUCAGCUUCCAAAUAUGCCCUUUUUCCUGUUGUUCAUAUUUCACUUGCAGAGACUAUGCCACAAUUGGAAGCAAAUAGACUCAUAAUGUGAGUUAACACAAAUCAUAAACCAAUCAACAACAUGCAAAUUCCACAAUUUUACUGAUUUACAAAUUCCACAAUUUUACUCAUACGUAUAGUACAUUGUUGAGGUGAACAAUUGUGAUAGGUUCACAAAUAGUGUUUAUUAAUUUUUCUAUAUUAAACACUAUUUGUGGACCUAUUAGAAUUGUCCACCUCAACAAUGUACUAGUAUAUGUCCAAAUAAGAUGUGUAUCGGAGUGGCGGAGUGUUCACCUUUUUAGCAAAUACUUAAAGUAAGGCAACAAGCUAACAGAGAAAGAGGACCACAAUUCCAGAUGGCACAUAAAAUCUUAUGCACAAGUCACACAGUGGCUCAUAAAAGAUAGAAUCAUUAUUAUCAACAACCAACUGUCAGCUAAAUACUAAAAAUAAACAAGACACAAAUUCUGAUAAGGUAACAACAAGCAUAUGAUUUGUGUCGUAAAUCGUAAUAAUGUGAAUUAAAGAACUCAAUGUCUGUCUUUCAUUCAAGAGCAGGAAAAAUAGAUAGUGAUCUUGUAAAACUUCUCUGUUAAUAAUAGAUUGGCAUGCAAGAAACAACUAUGCUCAUAUAACAAAUGAAUAAAAAUUACAUUGAAUUAAUUUAACUUUUGAGAUUUUUUUCCUGUAACCAUCUGGGUUAUCCGAAGGCCCCUACUGAAUGCUUCGUUGAAGAGAAUUCUGGUUUGCAUAGCUUGAAACCCAGGCAACCAUGAUAGUAUUGCAACAGGAGCCAUAACAAUGAUUCCAAAUAAUAUAUCGUAUAGACGAGCCAAUGAAACAACGACAUACCAAAUUAUAGUGUGCUGCAAAGCUGGCCUAAAUACUUGAGCAAUCAAUAACAUACCCCAACCUGUAGGAAUGAAUGCUAACAAGCUAGUAAAAAGGUCCAUGAAUUUGAAUUCAGUGAAUUCCAACAGAACAACUAUCACAAGUAUAGCAAGAACUAUGACAAUUGACUGGAUCAACCUAUAAUAGACAUGAUUUUUGGCUUCAUAUUUAUUCCUGGCAUAUGCUACCACCACAUAAAUCCCAAACACGGCGAAUACAUAAAUCCAUGAUAGCAAGUAAACUGCAAUACUGGUACUUCCUGCAGCUAUGUCUAGCUGAUAGACAAUACCAUACUGGAAGACAAAGAAACGAAGGUCUAAAACAAUCUCCAUAAACUUUCCCCAAAAACCAGUUACCUUUAGAUGAUCUUGCUCUUCAUACCACCACUUUUCCCAGCUCUCUUCAGCUUUAGCAAACACCCCUCCACGGUACCAAAUCCAUUUCAUAAAGUUGUCAAAAUCAUACACAGUUUUUAACCAGUCAAAACCAGAAGGAUUGAACACAAAGGGUGCCAUAAUCCAUGAUGCAACCAAGAACCAACUAGAGAUGGUCAUGGCUAGAUAGACAAAUGUGUUAGUUGAUACAACACUGUGUGCUGCAUAAAUUAGUAAUAUUAACCCUAACUCAAUUGCUUUCACAAAAUGGCUACGAGCAUAGAGUCUAUAAUUUUCUGCAAAACUCUUGUGCUCUACAACAAAACCGCGACCAGUUGCUCGAUAUUUUGCACCACCAUGUAGGAUUGUCCGGCCAAAGAAAUGGGUGCGUGUACCCAUGGAGAAAGUGUAGAAAACUGAUGCAAGUUGGAGCUGCAUUGUCAAAAAUUCCCAGACAGCUUGAAGGAACCCUUGUUCAAGGGAAUUCUCCACAAUCAUUGGAAGGGCAGUGAAAAGUCCAAUUUGGACUAUGAACUGCUGAUUCAAUAUUAUACUAAGUGCUUUAUUACUAUUGCUGUUACUUUCCAUAGCAGCUUCAACACCACUAAGAGCAAGCAUUAAUCGACCCCAUAGAAAUGCAUAAACAGUAAGAACCACCAUCAUUGUGUUGAAAAAGAAUCCCACUGUGGUGUAGAAGAAUGACAGCAUCCUGAAAAAAUCCAGUCUAUGACCCAAUCUAUAUACAUCUCUGCUCAAUACUUGCUCCCCGUUUCCACUGGCAACUUUCGCUUCAAACAUUGAUAUUUGAUUCAACCCAACAUCCCUACCUUUUCCAACCUGAAUGUAUUCAUGAUGUGUGAUAUUACCUCCACGAAGAGUACAGUUAAAACCGGCAAAAAUGUCUUCGCUUAUGUUGAUGACUCUGGAAGCUUUACUGAUACCGCCUCUAGUUAUGAACCAAAACCUGUCAAACACAUCAGGAUGGCCAUAAUGCAUUCGAAUUUUCAAUGGAUUUGCCAAAACCCUCUGUCCUAAGGUGACAAAACUUGAUUCCUGAGCUGACAUGAACCAAGCAAGAGAUGAAACGAAACCUGUAAAAAUAUGUUCCCUCACUCCCAAAAUAGUUGGUUUUCGAAUACCAUAGUAAUGCUUGAAUUCUUCCAAUAGAUUUCUCAUUUUAAGUGCCUCCUCGAAGUAGUUGUCCUGGUUCAUAUCAAUAGUUUGAAUUGCAUCCCCACGUGUGAAGAUGAUGGCAUGAUUUUGAUUUUCUGGCUUUCCUUCUCCUAGUUUUAAGGGACCUGGCAAUUUUACUCGGUAAAUUUCCACCUCCCUCUCCAAUUGUUGAUCGUACUUGACAAGAACAGAAUAAUACUCCUUCCCACUCCUCCCUGUGCGAACCUCAUCAACAUAGGCAACUCUUAGAGCUUCAUUGUUUUUCAUUAGAUACAAAAUUUCAUCAGCAUGAGGAUCCUUUCUUGCCUUCUGAGUUCCAUAUAUCUGGCAAGCAAUCACAUAUGUAAAUUUCAUUAAAGUAGUUCCGUAGUCAUGGCCAUUGAACAAACUUGUUGAACUGCUUGCUCCAGAAGAUGGUGACCUCUGCAAGUUGAAACCCUCUGACCUAUCUUGAUUCGAUGAAACAAGUUCACGUGAGCCUUCUUUGAUCUCUACUUCUGAUGCAGAAUCUAGAAAAGCCAAAAGUUUGAGGGCCUUAUAGUAGUACAUCAUUCCUCUAACCGUCCGCGAUAGGGUCUGGCCUCUAUAGGAUGCCCAGGACCUUAAUUCUGUUAGCUUAUCUGACCAUAUAUCACUGUCUUUCAUCAUCCCCUCUCGUCGCAUUCUCUCCAUAAAAUUCUUCCACUCAUCAUCAUAUAUAGUCUGUAAAUAGUAUAGAAUUGAGAUCCCAUCUUCAUUCCAAGUUCUGAGCUGUUCUUUACUGUAAACUACUUCUUCACUAUAGUAAGGGGUUAGGACACUAAAAGCCAUCAUUUUCUCAAUUUGAGGAGCAUGGGGCAUGCUCAUAAAAAGUGAGUUACUGAAGAAAGCAAUUCUCCGUCUAGCUUCAAGAUUAAUUGGAAUGUUUUGCAUUGAAUCCCUGGAGGUAAGAAUAGUAUGCAAGCGUCGAAGUUGGUGAUAAAAGUUCUCAUUCAUAGUAUCAGUAAACUGAAUGGCAUUUUCAAAAAGUAGAACCUCAGGAGAUGGAUUUUGUAGAGCCAAACCAUCCUCCUUUAGCUGUUCAUUAGUCCUUUUCUCCUUCAAAAAAUCUCGGAUAGAAAUCUCAUAAAGGGCCUGAAGGGUGUUCACCAAUUGGUUAGUAUCUUUUUCUUCCUUGUUUAACAAUUCAAUUAGUUUUAUCAACUUGCUGUGGAUCUGGGGAAGUGCGGUAGUUUUGAAUACUUUAGUGAAUUUCCCAAUCUCAAGUGAAUGAUCAAUUUCUUGAAACAAAGCAGUCACAAUAGAAUGCUCUUCACUAUCAGGUCUGAUAAUCUCUCGAAACAGGUAUCUGAUACAAUCAUAUGCUUCAACCACAGCACAUCGCCUGAACUCAUACUUACAUAUCUUUCUCCAAAGCCUCUUAUCGGGAGAAUCAACAAGUUCUUUAGCCUGACUUAAUGCCAGUAGCAACUCAUUGCAGAGAAGAAAACACGGCCAACGAAUAACCUUGACAUUCCAAGCAUUGUUUGGCAACUCCAGCAUCUCAACCUCUUUAUCAGAAAUGAUAUCCUCCUCUCUAAAUGACAAAAUUAUCUCGUUCCAAAGUAUAGCAAAUUUUUUGGCCUCAGCUUGGUUAGACUCAAGCUUCUUAAAAGGCUUACCGAAUCCAUACCUGAGCUUCAUCCUACGAACCGCAUCCCUCAACUUGCUACUCAACGUUCCCCUUGCAUUCAACAACUGCUCCUCUGGCAUUAAAUUAAAAAGAACUGCAGUGGCAAAAAACUGAAAUCGCAACUUCAGCUGUUCCAUACUUCGAAUCUCGCCCAAAUGUGCAAACAAACCCACCGUCGCCCCAACCAGAGACGAAUAUAUCGAAUACCAUAUCUGAAUAUCCAUUAAAUAAAUCAAAACAACUGGGAUCCACAGUAUCCCAAGAGCAAAAACAUUACCAUUUUUAAAAAACUCAUGCCACUGAUAUUCGACAUCCUUAAGAUCCAACACUGCCCUUGAUGGAGCCAUCAUGGGUAGAAUCUGUAAAAAGUAACUGAAACUAAAUUUUGAGACCAACACCACAACCCAAAAUAAAGUAUACUUAACAUUAUCUACAAGACCCUGACUCAUUCCACGACCAACAUAAAUGCUCCCCUGAAACCACCAGGAUAGCAUAUAAAAAAGCCACCAAUUCCUAUUCUCCAUAAAAUUUCUAACCCAAGGAAGUAUGAAAAGGGCAAAAGCAAGAAGCUCUGGAAUAACAAAAACAAAGCAAAUCUCAAGAAAAAACAUCAACCUCUUAUUUGCUUCAACAGACCAUUCAUGAUCACGGUUUCUCCGACUCAAUGUCUUGGCAUAAAAGUAAGAAAAAACAACUAUCCAUGCCGCAGAAACGAUACUUUUCAACACCAUCCUAAAUCCAAGCAUUUUUGUCUCCCUUGAAACUAACCUCCACUGCAUAACUAUAUCAAGCACAGAUUGAAUAAACCUUAAACCACUCCAAGUGAAGAAAAUAGUUAAAAGCCGAACCUGCACAUCGCGAUCCUUCAUCACCACAUGCCAAGGAUAAGUCCUAUCUUUCCAACCAACAAUAACAGCAGCUUGAAGAAACAAAAUCAGCAUCACCCAAAGCCUAUCAAAACUCCUAAACAAGUUCCAAAACGACCUCCGUUCAACAUAACCGGUUUUCCCAACGCGCUUUCCAACGAAGAAACUACUCCCAGCAUCAAUAGGCCAUUUAAGCCUAUAAAAACACCUCUUAGUCCAAAAAUACUCAUUUAUAUCAUCAUAAUUUCUCCAUUUCGAAUGCGGUUCUUUUCCAUUACCACUACUAAUCUCAGCCUCGAAUCGCACCAUUUGAUAAAUAGGCUUCACAACACUAUCUAGAAAACCGUCUUGCAAACAAAACGGCAGCUCGUCAUCGGAACCGUAACGGUUAUCCGGCUGAUUCUGCAAUAGUUUAUUAAGGUCAAUAGCCAUGUGAUGGAAAAUGUAGCAAAUACAUUCAGGAAUGAAUCUUAGAUUUGCAGAUUCUCCCCAAAUCAGAAGAUAUAGAGAAACAUAGAGGAGUUCUCUUCGGUGAUCGCAGUUAGAACCGGAGCGACCGGAAAGCCAGACGCUAGGUUUAACGCCGAGGUAAGAGCACCAUUUAGUGUAAUUUUUUAGGAGAUUUUUCCGGAAGGAGCGGAGGACAGUGGAAUCGAGAGAAUCGAUGUUGUCUGGUGAAGGAUUGAGACGCAUCUGAGCAUUGGCGAGAUGAAGGAGAAGGUGUUCGCGUUGAUUGCGAACGUUGUCGUUUUGGAAGCCGAAGAAAAGAGCGAGCCAAUCGAGGAGGUCCAUGUGAGGUUGCCAUUUAGGAGGACGGCGGAGGUCUCCGACGGUGCGGAUGGCGGAGAGUGCGGCACGGACUUCAGGGAAACGGAGGGAAGGGUGGUCGGAGUUGAGGUCGUUGAGUGGGAUAAUGUUGUAGGAUUGGAGUUCGGCAUUGUGGCGGUGAGUGGUUGGCAUAUCAUUGGGAUUUGGGAAAAGUGUGGAGGUUAGGAUUCUGUUGGUGAAUGGUGGUUGGUUAGUUACACAGUGUUGGAAGAGAUGGGUAUGGAAGGCUAGUGUUGAUGAUGGUUUCUCUGUGAAAUCCUGUUAUUUGUUGUUGAGUCAAAAUUCCAGUGCAGUGUCUAUUAGUGAGCCUCUUCAUGAAUUUGUCUUCUCCAAUAUUUGGAAGUCUGCUGCCCCGUCAAAGGUCUGUGCGUUUUCUUGGCAAUUGCUACUCAAUAGGAUUCAAACUAAAGAUAAUUUGUUGAGGCGACAUAUGUUACAGGAACAACAUGUGAACUGUGUUUUGUGUGGCUCCGCUGUGGAAACUUCGACACAUUUGUUUCUACAUUGUCGGUGUCCUGCGAAGGUCUGGUAUGGAAUUAUGAGAUGGUUGGGGCUUAUAAUAAUUAUUCCUCCAAACCUUGCGAUUUCGUUUGCUAUGUUAGUAGGUUGCGCCAAAGGUAAAAGAGCAAAGGCUGGAUUAAUUCUUGUUUGGAACUCAUUCAUGUGGGUAAUUUGGAAGCAUAGAAAUGAUUGUGUCUUCAAUAACAAAGUGGUGAAUAUUGAAGAGAUGGUGGAUCAAAUUAAAUUAGUGUGUUGGAAAUGGUUCAUCAAUAGAAUGGCAUCUGGGCCAUGCCUUCUCUAUGAAUGUAAUUGGAGUCCUUUUGAUUGCUUCAAUAGGUGACUACUUGUUGUGUUGGUAGGAUGGGGUUUGGUGUUACUAUUGCUAUUAUAUAGGUGUUUUUCGUUUCUCUGUAUUGUGGCUGUGGUUUUGUUGCUUUUUUUGGCUCUCUUGUUGAGCUUUUCUUGUUGUUUCUGUUGCUAGCCUUGCGCAUCCUAUAUGCCACUUUUUGUACUCUGACUUUUUCUCACCAAACACUACUUGUGUUUAGGUGGAAAUUUUAUCAAUAAAUUUAUUGCAGUUUCAAAAAAAAAAAAGUUACACAGUGACAGUUUACUGUUACAGAGAGAGAGAGAGAGAGAGAGAGAGAGAGAGAGAGAGAGAGAGAGAGAGAGAGAGAGAAGUGGUCUUGUGUUGGAAGAGAUGAGUGUAAUGGUCAGCGCGGGAAAUCAGAAACAAGCGAAGAAGAAAAGGCGCGUUACUUGACACGUGGCAUCUUUCUGUUCUUUUUUUAAAUCUUACCUUGUAAUUUUCUUUUUUUAGGAAGAAAAAAAAAGAAAUAUGAAGAUAUACAAUCUGAUUCUCCAACAAGUGGCGUGUUAUUUACACACACAAAAAUCUUGGUAGUAUCGGAUUUUAUAAUAAACUUUAAUGUGUAACUAAAGGACCGAGAACUCUUCAAGAUUGUCAAUUACAACUCUUCAAGAUCUUAACUUAACCUUUUUAAACUUUUGAAAUCAUAUUCAACAAGAAUAAGUUCUACAUAAAAACCAUCAAGUCACUAACCUUUUAUCUUUGACUUUGCUCCUUUUCAAUGUUCAUGAGUCAUGACAUACAAACCUUACACUAUUUCACCUCAUAUUAGUACAAUCUAAUUUCUAAACCAGAUACUGAUAUUAAAUCAACAAUAUCACAUGAGCUUAAAUUCUUCUUUCCCUUAAAAAGGUGCUCACAAGUAGUCAAUAACAAAAUUUAGUAUCUCAAGUAGAAGCAAAAGUUUAGGAAGUUUUUCAUCAACAACUAAAAAGCUAGGCAUUACGCAAUAUUGGGUUAAGAAACAAAGAGCUGAUCUAUUGUAACUAGAAAAAUCUUAAAGGUUAGCUACCAAUGACUUAGACAAUUCCAAUUACAAUAUAAUUGGACUAUCACUCUACACCUUCCACCAAUUUCCUCUCAUGGCAUCAUGGCCCCCAAUAACUAACCUCUCUAGUCACCAUCUAUUCCUACAGGAGUAUCUCCAAAAUUGAUUCUUAACUAUAAAAUCUACAUAGGAGUUGUAAGGCCACUCAUCCAUUCAUUUCUAAAAGAGUAGUACANNNNNNNNNNNNNNNNNNNNNNNNNNNNNNNNNNNNNNNNNNNNNNNNNNNNNNNNNNNNNNNNNNNNNNNNNNNNNNNNNNNNNNNNNNNNNNNNNNNNNNNNNNNNNNNNNNNNNNNNNNNNNNNNNNNNNNNNNNNNNNNNNNNNNNNNNNNNNNNNNNNNNNNNNNNNNNNNNNNNNNNUCCAAAAUUGAUUCUUAACUAUAAAAUCUACAUAGGAGUUAUAAGGCCACUCAUCCAUUCAUUUCUAAAAGAGUAGUACAAGAGUAACCAGGAAAUUCAGAUCAUGAAACAAAAUCCACAAAAACAUAGACUAAACCAUUUUAUCUUAAUAAUCCAUGACCACAUUAUUUAUCCAUCAUUAGGUAACUGACUAGUCCUCUUAAAAAUUCAAACUAACCUAUUUAACAAACCAAAAAUUACCUUAGUUAAUUUUCUAACUCACUUUAACUAACUAUUUUUCAAAUCACUAGUACAUGUACAGGCCACCUCUUUUUGCAGGAGUACCCAAAAGAUUGAUACCUAAUCAAAUAUAAUCUACAAGAACUAAGCUGGACUAUUUUUUUUCUAACAAGGAAUUUACUCAUACUAGCCCCACAAUCCCUUUCAACAAAGAAGGUUAAUCACGACAUGAUAAGCGUCACACAAAUACAACGCAUCGAACAGUUGUAUAAAGGUCUAGAUCGUGUGGAUACACAGUUUCAUAACCUCAUAACAGGCUAACAUAGGUUACACAAUGGAAAAGGAAACACUAAAAUAAAGGAUCACAAUACAUCACAUGGAGCACAAAAGCACGUCCAACACAUAAUACUAACAACAACCACACAUCAUAGCAAUCACAUAACACACAGGCUUGAUGGACAACAAACAAGUAGUUAAUUAAGCAUUGACAGUGUUGACACACAUGUCGCUUAACAAGGAUUAACAAAAUUAUAACUUGGUCUGAUUAGACCGACCUGCUCUGAUACCAAUUGUAACACCCUUUAAUUUUCCCUUGAUUUUAUUUGCGAAGAAUUCAAUUUAGUUUAUUUCAUUAAAGGUGUCACACCUACUUUUGAAUUGAAUACUUAAUUAAAUAAGGAUUAAGCAGCAGAAAUAAAAUUAAAACCAAUAAACAUAAGUUCUAAAAUUUGAAGUCAAAAAUUAUUGAGAGCAAUAGAAUCAUUCCAAAAACCAAUUGACACUGUUCAAGUCAUUUUGAAGAAAUACUAAUUGAAUAUAUACGUGAAUCCCCCAAGACAUCCUAUCAGAGCGACUCAAUUACUGAAACAGCAAGGGACAAGCUCCCCGAACUCGGCAACUAUGACUCAUCGCCUACCUGAAAAUCUACGGUUGCACACCGUAGGGCCAAGCCAGAAAAAGGAAGCAACAAGGGGUCAAUAAUACAAUCACAAAGAAUAUCACAAACGAGCACAAUUAUUAAAAUAAAACAAUAAGUCAGCAAUAUCAACAUCCAUUCCAAUUUUUCAUCAUGUAGGAUCAACACCAAUUACAAAUUUCAGUUUUAUAUCAUGGAGGAUCACCACCAAUUUCCAGUUUUAUAUCAUGGAGGAUCACCACAAAUUUCCAGUUUUAUAUCAUGGAGGAUCACCAACAAUAGUUCGGCAACGUCAAUUGCAACGAUAUAAAUUCAACACAAAUAGAGACAUCAUGAUUUCAACAUCAGUACGUCAACAUGGUUUAACAUCAUUAACAACAGCUACAACCCACAUCAUAAGUCAACGGCUUAAAAUCAUCGGUUUAACUAAUAACUAUUAUUUAUAGAAUUUCAACGGUUUAACCCUCUCCCACUACUGUCAAAAUUAAUUAGAGUGAUUUAUUAACUCUACUNNNNNNNNNNNNUAAUAAAAGAAGGGUUACUCAAUUAUUAAAUUUUUGUCACAACCAGACCUAAACAAACCCCCGGAAGUUAUUUAUUAAUCUCUGGAAAGCAAGGAAAAGGUUUAAUUGUCGAUCUCGAUACAAAAUCAGGAACAUUGUACUUUUCCUUAAGUUAACAAACUUGAUGUAAAAAUCCUGUGAUAGAGCAGUUAGGUUCACAGAGCUACUGAGACAUGUAGGUAAGUGCUAAAAUUAUGAAAUUCGACAUACAUAAACUACUAUAUGUCCUCUUUCAAACGCAANNNNNNNNNNNNNNNNNNNNNNNNNNNNNNNNNNNNNNNNNNNNNNNNNNCCCUAGCUUAAGAUAUCAAUUUUCGAAGCUGACUGACUCAUAGGAGAUUAUAAAACAGAACUGUCAUUUUCAUAGUAUCACAAAACCAUGCACAAGUUAUAUUAAGCCCCCAAACCUUCCAGUAAUAUACUACUACUUCGUGUAUGUUUGGUUUCAAUUCUGGAGCAUCCAGAAUUGAUUCUGGACGUGUAGAAUUGAUUCUGACUUGUUUGGUUUCUCAAAAGUAGAAUUGAUUCUGCCUCCAGAAUNNNNNNNNNNNNNNNNNNNNNNNNNNNNNNNNNNNNNNNNNNUAUCCAAACAUAAACCACUUCAGCUUAAAAUCAAUUUUGGCCAGAAUCAAUUUUACAGAAUCAAUUCUGCCAAAAUCAAUUCUCUCCGCCGCAGAACCAAACACACGCUUCUUAGCUUUCAGACCCAAUUGGGUUCACUCAAAAAUAUGUUUCCUAACUCAAGUUAUACCCAAUUUAAUCCAACUACAUCAUAAUCUCCUUAUGCAGAAAAUUACCCUAACUUCUCUCUUUCUUUCAUAAUAUUGUAUAUCACACGAAUCCAAUCAACAUAGCAGAGCACAAGAAUUCACACUUUAACAAAGCAUGAACAACAACAACAACAACACUUGUGAAGAAAAGGAAGAAACAAUCAACUCAUACUAUAAAAAAUUUAGAAACUUAGAUGAAACAUUAAACCCCUUACUUAGAAUAGCAAUUAAUGUUUGGUUGUGAGUUUUGUUUUCCUCUUCUUUCUCUUCUCCCUCUCGUGCGUCAAUCUCUCUUUCUCCCUUGCUCCUCUAUAUAUUCUGUUUUUCUCUUCUCUUUUUUUUUUUUUUUUAAAAAAAAGUGGAUAGAUUUCAACUUUGUUUCUAACUUAGUCUAGUGGUUUCCUCCACAAGAAGGAAAAAUUCUGCUUUUAACUAUUCAUGGGUUUUCUUUCUACUAGGCCCAAUUUCAUUAUUUCUACUACUCUUUCUUACUCACACCCCCUCUCCACCUAUUAUAUUAUUUCUACAACCCCGUCUACUUUUUCUUCACUUUAUUUUCAACUUAUCAUUUUACUCAUUUAUUCAUCAAUUAUUUAAUUACUCAUCACACACAGUUAAAUAAUUAACAAUAAUCAACACAACAACUCCUACGAAAAUUAUUAAUUAAUUCUAAAUUCGGGGCGUUACCUUAACUUCCCAAGCAAUGUUAUUAGAACUUGUGAUGUAAGUUGAUCUGGUUAAGGCAUAGUCUUUUGAGUCAAUCUGGUGAGGCAGCGGGGUUAAGAAUUAAGA